UACGUAGGGACCAAGCGUUGUCCGGAAUCAUUGGGCGUAAAGAGCGUGUAGGCGGCCUGUUAAGUCUUGCGUGAAAUCUCGGGGCUCAACCCCGAGCGGUCGUGAGAAACUGGCGGGCUAGAGUGCGGGAGAGGAGAGUGGAAUUCCUGGUGUAGCGGUGAAAUGCGCAGAUAUCAGGAAGAACACCGAUGGCGAAGGCAGCUCUCUGGGACGGUACUGACGCUGAGACGCGAAAGCGUGGGGAGCAAACAGG
rnacentral:rRNA from 1 species